rnacentral:rRNA from 1 species
UACGUAGGUCGCAAGCGUUGUCCGGAAUUACUGGGCGUAAAGGGCUCGUAGGCGGCCAACUAAGUCCGACGUGAAAUCCCCAGGCUUAACCUGGGAACUGCGUCGGAUACUGGAUGGCUUGAAUUCGGGAGAGGGAUGCAGAAUUCCAGGUGUAGCGGUGAAAUGCGUAGAUAUCUGGAGGAAUACCGGUGGCGAAGGCGGCAUCCUGGACCGACAUUGACGCUGAUGAGCGAAAGCUAGGGGAGCAAACGGG